rnacentral:lncRNA from 1 species
AUUUUUCAUCUCAUUUCAUCUCAAUUCAUCUCAUCAUUUCAUCUCCUCAUCUCAUCAUUUCCUCCUUUCAUUACAACAUUUCAUCUCAUUUCUUCUCAUCUCAUUUCAAUUUCAUUAUUUCAUCUCAUUUCAUUAUUUCACCUAAUUUCAUUAUUUCAUCUCAUCUCAUCUCAGUUCAUCUGAUCUCAUUUCAUCUCAGCAUUUCAUCUCAUCAUUUUUCAUCUCAUCUCAUCUCAGUUCAUCUGAUCUCAUUUCAUCUCAGCAUUUCA